ACCAUGCAGUCGAGCGGUUGAGGGAGCUUGCUCCCUGAUUCAGCGGCGGACGGGUGAGUAAUGCCUAGGAAUCUGCCUGGUAGUGGGGGACAACGUUUCGAAAGGAACGCUAAUACCGCAUACGUCCUACGGGAGAAAGCAGGGGACCUUCGGGCCUUGCGCUAUCAGAUGAGCCUAGGUCGGAUUAGCUAGUUGGUGAGGUAAUGGCUCACCAAGGCGACGAUCCGUAACUGGUCUGAGAGGAUGAUCAGUCACACUGGAACUGAGACACGGUCCA
rnacentral:rRNA from 1 species